rnacentral:snRNA from 1 species
AUCGCUUCUCGGCCUUUUGGCUAAGAUCAAGUGUAGUAUCUUGGUAGGGGUUUUUGUUAGUGAUGUUGUUUUUGCAGAAUUGGGGGGUUACGCUCAGAACCUCCCAUAGGCUAUGUACUCUAAUACUGAGCUAACUACCC